rnacentral:rRNA from 1 species
UGCAUGUCUCAGUACAAGCCAAAUUAAGGUGAAACCGCGAAAGGCUCAUUAAAUCAGUUAUGGUUCCUUAGAUCGUACCCACAUUUACUUGGAUAACUGUGGUAAUUCUAGAGCUAAUACAUGCAAACAGAGCUCCGACCGGAGACGGAAGGAGCGCUUUUAUUAGAUCAAAACCAAUCGGCGGCGGGUUCGCCCGUCGUCGUACAUCUUGGUGACUCUGAAUAACUUUUUGCUGAUCGCACGGUCCAGCACCGGCGACGCAUCUUUCAAAUGUCUGCCUUAUCAACUGUCGAUGGUAGGUUCUGCGCCUACCAUGGUUGUAACGGGUAACGGGGAAUCAGGGUUCGAUUCCGGAGAGGGAGCCUGAGAAACGGCUACCACAUCCAAGGAAGGCAGCAGGCGCGCAAAUUACCCACUCCCGGCACGGGGAGGUAGUGACGAAAAAUAACGAUACGGGACUCAUCCGAGGCCCCGUAAUCGGAAUGAGUACACUCUAAACCCUUUAACGAGGAUCAAUUGGAGGGCAAGUCUGGUGCCAGCAGCCGCGGUAAUUCCAGCUCCAAUAGCGUAUAUUAAAGUUGUUGCGGUUAAAAAGCUCGUAGUCGAAUCUGUGUCUCGCGCCGCCGGUUCAUCGCUCGCGGUGUUUAACUGGCGUGUCGCGGGACGUCCUGCCGGUGGGCUUAGCCUCCUUCGCGGGGGGCGGCCCAACUACGCAUCCCGCCGCGGUGCUCUUCGCUGAGUGUCGAGGUGGGCCGGCACGUUUACUUUGAACAAAUUAGAGUGCUUAAAGCAGGCUCAAACUUCGCCUGAAUAUUCUGUGCAUGGAAUAAUGGAAUAGGACCUCGGUUCUAUUUUGUUGGUUUUCGGAACCCCGAGGUAAUGAUUAAUAGGAACGGAUGGGGGCAUUCGUAUUGCGACGUUAGAGGUGAAAUUCUUGGAUCGUCGCAAGACGGACGGAAGCGAAAGCAUUUGCCAAAAACGUUUUCAUUGAUCAAGAACGAAAGUUAGAGGUUCGAAGGCGAUCAGAUACCGCCCUAGUUCUAACCAUAAACGAUGCCAGCUAGCGAUCCGCCGACGUUCCUCCGAUGACUCGGCGGGCAGCUUCCGGGAAACCAAAGCUUUUGGGUUCCGGGGGAA